rnacentral:lncRNA from 1 species
CGCGACGACGGCAUGCGCGCGUCGCGGUCGCGGUCGCGGUCGCGGUCGACCGAUCGGUCGACGGCGCGCGCGAGCGCGCGCGACGGCGACGGCGCGCGAGGGACGGCGGCGUCGGACCGGGCGCGCGUGGACGGGAUGACGGUGCGCGCGCUGCGGGACGCGCUGCGCGCGCGAGGGAUGGCCACGGACGGGGUCAAGGCGACGCUGGCGGCGCGGUUGCUCGAGAGCGCGGGCGGUUCGGAGGGAGGGACGAAGCG